rnacentral:rRNA from 1 species
CAGAGUUUGAUAUGGCUCAGGAUAAACGCUAGCGGCAGGCCUAACACAUGCAAGUCGAGGGGCAGCGUGACGGGUAGCAAUACCUGUUGACGGCGACCGGCGCACGGGUGCGUAACGCGUAUGUAACCUACCGUUCACAGGGGGGAUAGUCAGAGGAAACUUUGAAUAAUACCGCAUAAAACAGGGGUCCGGCAUCGGAAUAUUUGUUAAAGGUGGCGACACGGUGAACGAUGGGCAUGCGUUCGAUUAGAUAGUUGGAGAGG